GGGUCAGUAGGUUGGUCGUGCUACCGGUACGUACUGGUCUCACUGAUUCCUCCUUCCUGAAGAACCGUAAUGCCAUUAAUUUGGUGUUGCGGGGAAACAGGACUGUUACUUUUAAAAAAUUAGAGUGUUUAAAGCAAGCUAACGCUUGAAUACAUUAGCAUGGAAUAAUGAAAUAGGACGAUCGAUCCUAUUUUGUUGGUUUCUAGGAUUGACGUA
rnacentral:rRNA from 1 species